UACGUAGGGGGCUAGCGUUGUCCGGAAUCAUUGGGCGUAAAGCGCGUGUAGGCGGUCCGGUAAGUCAGCUGUGAAAGUCAAGGGCUCAACCCUUGAAUGCCGGUUGAUACUGUCGGGCUAGAGUCCGGAAGAGGCGAGUGGAAUUCCCGGUGUAGCGGUGAAAUGCGCAGAUAUCGGGAGGAACACCAAUGGCGAAGGCAGCUCGCUGGGACGGUACUGACGCUGAGACGCGAAAGCGUGGGGAGCAAACAGG
rnacentral:rRNA from 1 species